AGAAAGAAGGAACAGAAGGAGCUCUUGCUUGAGUAAGGCACUGGUCAUGCCUCAAUUAGAACCCAUGAACUCAUCCUUUGGACCACCCAAACCUGUCAGAAGAGUGUCUCCGUCUCCAUUUUUGACUUUCCAGAGAGGUCUGAAGCCACCUCCACACAGUGAGGUGGCAGACUUGUGGACAGGUCCUGAAGCCAUACCAGGAGCUGACCAGCCCCAGAAAAUGAGGACAUGGCUGCAGGGAUAGAAAGCCAAACUGUGGGUCAAGGGGACUUCAGCCUGUCCAUCUGGGGGCACGCUUAAAGGUCUAUGAUGGGGCCAAAAAGAAAGGUGCAGGCUAAGGACAGAAGGACAGCUCAGCCUGAACAGCCCCAUCCUGCAGCCCACCCCAGCCCUGAGCCUCUGGAACUCUAUCACUGCAUCCUGGGGCACCUGCCCCCCAAGCCCCCACCCCAGGAAGAGUAUCUAUGCUGUCAGAGGCUGCAGACGGUGCCAGCAGAAGGUGGAGAGGAAGCUUGGGGCCUUUGGUGGGUGGGACGCAUCAACACACACAGCCGCAGCAGCUGCACAUAGAUCAACAGGCCAUCCGUGCCUCGAACACCUACAUCAACGGCCAAGGCCUUGGCCACCCUGCCCAGCUCCGUGCACCGCUAGUUGCCUUGGUGGAUCACAGCCGCUCCACGCUCCACAGGAAGAAUCCCAAACCCGGUGACCGGCUGCCCCAGCAUUCUCCUCACCAUCUGUUUUGUCCUUGGAGGAUGAAAGAACUUAGCAAGGAUGAUAUUAAGGAGACAACCGCUUUCUCUGUCUCUUCCACAGGUACCUGCUGCUGAUACCUCUACCCUUGGUUAGACACAAUUCCAGCAGGGCAGGACCACUUGCCCUGAGGAGAAGAGCCCAGGGACUCGUCACAGGCAGGGAACCACUGCCUCUUCUAUCCUGCCUGGAGCAUAACGGCGGUCCAAUGAGUAGACAGGUGGACUCACCACUCAGGU
rnacentral:lncRNA from 1 species